AUGCAGCUCUCCAGUCUGCUCUGGGUGCUCCUGGCCUUCACCUUCUCUGGAUCUUGUGUGGCCCAGAAAGUUACUCAAGACCAGUCAGAUGUAUCCAGCCAAGUGGGGCAGUCAGUCACCCUGAAUUGUCGGUAUGAAACAAGUUGGAGCGCUUACUACCUUUAUUGGUACAAGCAACUUCCCAGUGGACAGAUGACUUACAUUAUUCAUCAGGGUUCAGAAGUGAUAAAUGCAAGGGAAGACCGCUACUCUGUAAACUUUAAGAAAGCAGAUAAAUCCAUCAGCCUCACCAUUUCAGCCUUACAACUGGAAGACUCUGCAAAGUACUUCUGUGCUCUCCGUGACACACAGUGCUUGAAGCAAUAG